AUGGUGGGAAUAGGUCCCCGCAAGUCUGUAAGCAUAGAUGUGAUCUCCAGGAACCGUUCUCUUGAGGGAUUUCAAACCAAUGUUCUUCGCUUGAAGACAUACAAGCAGAAGUUGGUUUGUCUUCCCAAGGCGUGCUGGCAAGUUUAAGGCUGGUGAUUCUGCAGCAGAGGAGCUAGCAAAUGCAACCCAACUCCAGGGUCCUCUCUUGGCAAUUCAACAGGAGAAACCAGUCACUGAGCUCGUGAAGGUCACCGCAGAUAUGAAGAAAGUCAAUGCAUAUGACAAGCUUCGUAUUGAGCGGGUAAAUGUCCGUCAUGUUGGAGCCAGGGCUAAGAGGGCAGCUGAGGCUGAGAAGGAAGAAAAGAAGUAGAAUGCUUGUUGCCUCAUGUUCAAUCAUUUGCAAGGAUUUCUUAUGUCUUGCCAGAUUUUGCAAAAUAGCUUUGAACUAUUUUCUGAGACAUCUUAUGCAUUGACAAUAUUAGAAUUCGUAAUGUCACUUCAGUAUGCGGAGGUGAAGGAAUUGAGAAUAUUCUAAACGAAGAAGUUUCACCAGUUCGAAGUAAAAAAGUAUAAAGGAAUUGCGAACCAAAGGAUCAAAACCAGCACAUCAUCGAAAUGGUGAUUAUUAAUAUUAAAAUGCCCGUCUCAAGUCUUGAAAUCAUGAUCUACACAAAGUGAUAAGCCUACAUAAGUACAUAUGACCAG